rnacentral:rRNA from 1 species
CUACGGGCCGCAGCAGUGGGGAAUAUUGCACAAUGGGCGCAAGCCUGGUGCAGCCAUGCCGCGUGUAUGAAGAAGGCCUUCGGGUUGUAAAGUACUUUCAGCGGGGAGGAAGGGAGUAAAGUUAAUACCUUUGCUCAUUGACGUUACCCGCAGAAGAAGCACCGGCUAACUCCGUGCCAGCAGCCGCGGUAAUACGGAGGGUGCAAGCGUUAAUCGGAAUUACUGGGCGUAAAGCGCACGCAGGCGGUUUGGUAAGUCAGAUGUGAAAUCCCCGGGCUCAACCUGGGAACUGCAUCUGAUACUGGCAAGCUUGAGUCUCGUAGAGGGGGGUAGAAUUCCAGGUGUAGCGGUGAAAUGCGUAGAGAUCUGGAGGAAUACCGGUGGCGAAGGCGGCCCCCUGGACGAAGACUGACGCUCAGGUGCGAAAGCGUGGGGAGCAAACAGGAUUAGAUACCCCCGUAGUC